UACGUAGGGGGCAAGCGUUGUCCGGAAUCAUUGGGCGUAAAGCGCGCGUAGGUGGCCAUUUAAGUCCGCUGUGAAAGUCAGAGGCUCAACCUUUGAAAGCCGGUGGAUACUGGAUGGCUAGAGUACGGAAGAGGCGAGUGGAAUUCCUGGUGUAGCGGUGGAAUGCGCAGAUAUCAGGAGGAACACCAAUAGCGAAGGCAGCUCGCUGGGACGUUACUGACACUAAGGCGCGAAAGCAUGGGGAGCGAACAGG
rnacentral:rRNA from 1 species